UUUAUUUAUUUUGCCUCGAGAAGCAAUCGAAAUUGCUGCGCAUAACCGACCCUAAGGUGAGUUAGCAUUCCGUCAUAGGCAAAAUAUAUUUUGGGUAAUAGAAAAUAUGAAUUAUUUUUAUUUAUUUUGCCUCGAGAAGCAAUCGAAAUUGCUGCGCAUAACCGACCCUAUGGUGAGUUAGCAUUCCGUCAUAGGCAAAAUAUAUUUUGGGUAAUCGAAAAUAUGGAUUAUUUUUAUUUAUUUUGCCUCGAGAAGCAAUCAAAAUUACUGCGCAUAACUAACCCUAAGGUGAGUUAGCAUUCCGUCAUAGGCAAAAUAUAUUUUGGGUGAUCUGGCGCCCAUAUGGGUUUUCACCAGAUACCUUCCCCUAACUUUUGCCUGUGAGCCUCGAAAGGUUUUCUCACAGCGGGGAUCCCAAUUUUGCCUGUGGGGUUAUACCACAGCCGGGAAUUUUUUGCAUUUUUACCCUUGAAGUCCAAUAUGGACAAUCAAGUCCGCUGGUGGCUCAUCUUUUACCCAUAUUAUCUAAAAAAAAUUAGAUAACAUGUCCUCCAUUUUUUUUAUUUUAUACAUAAUAUUUCUUUAAGAAACGGCCGUUGAUAGGUGGCAUUGGCCUUUCACCUUUGGCGUCAAUUAAUUGGUAGGCACCGCCUUCAUAAGCUUUCUCCACCACAUAUGGGCCUUCCCAAUUUGGAUCAAACUUCUUCCCAGUAUGUUUAUUGAUUAUAAUCGGUCUGCGAAGAACGAGCACCAGCUCCCCAACACUAAUGGUGCGGUACCGGGUAAGUUUAUUAUAUGCGCUUGCCAUUUGGGCUUGAUAUAGUUCCAAAUUCUGUUGGGCAGUCAACCUGACUUCAUCCAAUGCAUCUAGCUCAUCAAGCCUUAGUAGAGCAUUUUCUUCAUUUGUUAACU
rnacentral:lncRNA from 1 species